rnacentral:lncRNA from 1 species
GGCACUAUGGGUGACAGUUCUCACAGCACCAAUGCAUCACCAAAAAGAUGACUAGCAACCCAUAUGAAUUAAGAUAUCACUCCAUUUCAAGGUAUCCAUAGACUGAAAAGCUAGUUUUUUGCAUAAAUACCACAAGUUUCUGAACCAAAAAUAGGAUCCAAGCAACAUUCAUAGUACGACUAACAGCAAAUGAUCCUCAACAGAGCAAAAUUAAAGCUCCUCAUGACAUUCAUAGAAACAGCAGGACUACCCAGAGAGGAGUAAGUUUCUUGAUUGCCACCAGUAGAGUUGGAAGAUAGCCUACAGCCUCCUUCCCCUCCUUCCUCCCUUCCGGCGGGUGCUGUCAGUGGGAACUGGAGUCACGUCCUCUGCAGCACAAGAACAAGCAUUAUGGUCAGGCAUAUGCAGACACAAUCCUCUUUGAUUCGCAGGAUUGUAAAAACAUGGGAAUAGGAAAAACAUAGGAUUGAAAUGUCAUGCUCAUCUCAAUCCUAUAGGAUUUUAGGUUGUUUGAUUGCAUCAUAGGAAAAACGAAGGAUUCUUUCAAAGAGGUUUGACUGGAUGCUAGAAAUCCUAUGGGAAGUAGUACAAAAAAUUUCUUAGGAAAAAAUCCUAUAGGAUUCAAUCCUAUGAAUCAAACAACCAAUAUAGGAAAAUUUCCUAAGAUUCUAAUCCUCCAAAAUUCCUAUGCAAAUCCUUUGAAUCAAAGGAACCCUAAGAUGGGACAUAUGUGCUUCCACAAACACUAUAUCAGAAAGCGUUGCGUACCAAUGCGCCCAAUUUUCAUCCCAGAACGAGCAAGAGCCCUGAGAGCAGACUGAGCUCCAGGUCCAGGUGUCUUGGUCUUGUUGCCUCCAGUGGCACGGAGCUUAAUGUGCAGUGCGGUAAUACCAAGCUCCUGAAAGAACAGAAUAAACUCUGAGACAAAGCAUCUCAAGGGAGCAAUGCAGCACUACAUCCUAGUCAUGUACCGGCAUUCCAAGCAUCAGUCUAAUGAAGAGAAUACAACUGGUAAUAGGCACAGCUGAAAGUGAAGCCUUGAUAUUUGAGGAUGCAUACCUUGCAACGUGUAGCAACAUCCUGAGAUGCAAGCAUAGCAGCAUAGGGUGAAGACUCAUCACGAUCAGCCUUGACCUUCAUUCCACCUGGAUGGUUUAGAGGAAUAACAGUGCAUAUUAAGUACCAUCACUAACAGUGUGAAUGCAAGUAAUGGCAUAGGAAAAGAUGCAUACCAGUGAUCCGCACCAGGGUUUCCCUCCCAGACAAGUCAGUCACAUGCUGCAUAAUGAGAUUAGAGUCAAUACACAUGAGACAACAGUGUUGAAUGCAUAGGUGCUGAGAAGAAAAUACUUACGAUGAAAGUGUCAUUGAAGGAUGCAAAGAUGUGAGCAACGCCAAAGACAUGCUCUCCCUCACGGACAGCCGGUCCAAGGGUGACAUUCUCCUCCUUGGGCUCCCUGGUCUUCCUCUUCGACGACUGCAACAACAAACCACAAUUUACAUUAGACAACCCACUCGGCUAACAUGAAAGGCAGCAUUUACAGAACAUUUCUGGUUUCGUGCAGCACAGUCAGCCUAAGUUGAUACAAAAAUACCAUAUGUAGCUUUAGGAGGAAUAAAUUAUGUGUGGGUGUGGCUGAUGGCCAUGGGUUUCAGUAAAUUCUAGUAGAAGCUGACCAACUGGCAGCAGAUUUACUGAGUUAGAGCAUAUUGUGCAAACCAACUGUUUGGAGAUGAUCCGACACUAACAGCAUAACUAGAAAUACAGGUAGCAACCAUGAAAACUCGACAAAAAAGGAUGGAGAUUAAUUCAGUUAUCUAAAACCGCCCAACCCCUUCUUCAUUCAAGCAGGUCAACUCUAUUCAUCCACGCUACCCCAUUCCACCAAGUGAUGCCGAAUGCAAUUUCCUCCUUCAUGGCAUACUCGACAUUUACUACCAUCCACACGGUACAACCGAAGAGAAAUACAUAAUCCUGUCGCAGCUUCAUCCAAUCAACCCUGUCCUAGCAUACCACCCUACCUAGAAUCAAGCAAUCGAGCGCCGCAGCUGUUGCGAAUCUACCGAAUCUGCGCGCUUUCGGAAGCGAGGAGAAAUUGCGACGGCCAAUCGCAGCAACAACCGAAUCAGGGGAGAGGAAACGCACCAUGGUCGCGUGGAGCGGCGGUGGACCGGAGACGACGACGGCGAGGAGGAGGAGUGCGCGCCUGGUUGAGAUCACGAUGAGUGCGCCGCCGCCGCCGAAAGCUCAGAGGGUCGGAGGGCGAAGGGGUGCCCGCUUAUAUAUGGGGGUGCCGCCAGCUAGGGUUUAACCCCCCGCCUCCGAUCGGCUCAAAUGCCGAUUUUGCCCUCACGCAUGUGUCACUGCAAGUGGGUCCAACGGAUUAUUGGCGACCCGGGCCGUUAGUUGGGCCGAAUGAAAUGGUUUCUUCGGGCCCAUGUGACACCAAGGUAUGAAUGGGCUGGAUGCUGGGCAUUUUCGUCCCUGGGUCGCCCGAUAGAGAGGAGCGGAGAAGGAGGGGUGCUGCGUUCGGCAAGGAUGAAUCGCUCCCGAGUGUAUUGAUUCUCUGGUUGCUCUGAUUUCUUUCGAGGACUCAUUGACAAACCAUUUUGAGAAACAAAGAUUUAUAGAAACCACCCUUUAAAUCAUCCCAAUGGAACCAUAUCCUUGUCAGUUUUGGUAUAAUUUUUACCCUCAAAACUAUGAAACCGUAUAAAUCAACCCUUCUGUGGUUUUAAAGCCACCAUGUCCAAUUAUGGGCAGUAUUGGCCAGUGUUGAGAGCGUUGACUCCCUUUUUCUUUUCCCUAUGUGUAUUUAAAAAAAUUAUCACCUACUAAAAAUGUUUAUUGUGUGUAUCUAAAAAAUAUUCACCGGGCAUUUUUUUAAGAAAAAACAUUCAAGUANNNNNNNNNNNNNNNNNNNNNNNNNNNNNNNNNNNNNNNNNNNNNNNNNNNNNNNNNNNNNNNNNNNNNNNNNNNNNNNNNNNNNNNNNNNNNNNNNNNNNNNNNNNNNNNNNNNNNNNNNNNNNNNNNNNNNNNNNNNNNNNNNNNNNNNNNNNNNNNNNNNNNNNNNNNNNNNNNNNNNNNNNNNNNNNNNNNNNNNNNNNNNNNNNNNNNNNNNNNNNNNNNNNNNNNNNNNNNNNNNNNNNNNNNNNNNNNNNNNNNNNNNNNNNNNNNNNNNNNNNNNNNNNNNNNNNNNNNNNNNNNNNNNNNNNNNNNNNNNNNNNNNNNNNNGCACAAAACGAACACCUAAAUUGGGCCGGCCCACGUGUUUGCCACCAAUUUGACGCAAUAGGCAGGCUGUAAAAUUAGGUUAGUGUGAGGUCUGCGAUUCAAGUAGAUUGAUACUACAUCUUGAUUUGCUCUGCUCUUUUUGUCAUGCUUAGAAAAAUCCACUUGAAUUAUAUAUCGCAAAAUUAUGGACAUUGUGCUUUCUCGGAGUGCCAAUUUUUUUUUCUCAAUUUAAGUGAAAGAAACUUUAUUAUACGGAAUUUUACCAUUGUGUGGUGUUAUCUUUUUGAAGUAUUUGAACCUUUUUUAUGGAUCUACUAUUCAUGCUUGUAAUAGGUGUCUCUAUGCAUAUCAAAGUACAUAAUUUCUUGAAUAAGACACAUACUGUCAAUCCCCAAUAGAUCAUGUUGUUAAGAUUAGUUCCUCAAUUGGCAUAUAGGUUAUUCUGAAUCUUAGGAGUUGUUUGGAUAUCACCAGCACCAGCCCCACCAGAACAGGGCAUGCCAAAUUAUUCGUAGAUCAAUAUUAUCGAUGUUAUACAAUUUUUACCAGAUUUUAAGAAGAGGAUGUCAAUUGGAAGCAGGUGCACCAUAAGCUUAAGCUCUACUAGAGGCUGGUGCUCUAACCUCUGAGUCGAUUUCUUAUGUACUCUUUAUUGUUUUCGUUGUUUCCAUUGCCCCUAUAAGAUUUAUGAGCUUCUAUUCACCAUGAGUCCUAACUAGUGACAGAAGAUUCACAAGACUUGUACUAAAUUUUCCUAAAGAAUUGAAUCAAAACACUCACUUAAUGCACCAAAAAUUCCUAAUAGCAACCAAAGAAUACUUAAAUUAACUCGGGCUAACAUUAAGUGGCCAGGAACAUUUGUAAAGACCAUGGAACCUCAUCAAUAGUAACAGGAACCGAGGAUAUACACAACAACUAGGACAAAUCUUUCUUGGUACCACCGUCUGCACUUUAUCUCCGAUUCUUGGUAUGUCAUGCAAUAUUGCCUAGCCCAAUGAGAAGAGUCCACAAAAUCACGGUAGCAUCUCCAAACCCGUUCAUGAUUGCAUAUUAUGCUAUUUUUGCAUAUGCACACAUAUCCAGCAUUUUCAAAUCCCUGGUACCUCCCAAACCUAUAACAAACUCAAAUAAAUCCUACUAUUUUGGACAUGAUAGACAAAGCUGAGCUACUCAGUCAGGGAGGGAUCUCUGUCUAUGACAUGCACUCUAGUAGUCCAAGUUUUUUAUGUCUUUUAUAGCCGGAGAUUUCUAUGCAGAUGAGUAGUUCUUUCAUUUAUUUCUGCCAUUACUCCUGCAACUCAUAUAUUGUCCAUUACAUGCUCGCUGACUUGAUUUAAUAGGUACACACGAUGAAUCUGUCACAUCCAUAUCCAUAUGAUCCAUCAUGUCUUUAUUGAUCCAUGUCUAUGCAGUUUUGUAGGAUACGAGCCAAUGAGUGAAGAAUUAGCAAGUGUGUUGCUGAGAUACAUGUUCAAUGUGGUGCUAAGCAUUAUACACAUCGGUGAUGAAAUAUUUGUUGGUGUAUCGGCUCCAUAUAAAACAAUAUGGUAGCGGACGUGCAAGCUUUGCCCAAGAAAAUGGGCAUACUGUGAAACAACCUACCAAAAUAUUUUAUUAAAAUAACACAUCUUAGCAAAAAAACACAUGAAAGCUAAGAAAUUAUUACCCAACUUCAAGCAACUACAAAGGGUAUUUCUCCAGCAAAAAAACUAUGAAGGGUAUUUCACGCAUCAUUGUAGAGAUUGCGCAACAACAGUCCUAACUAAACCAAGAGCCAAAAUUGUCAAACUGAAUUCAUAAAGAACAUUUUACUUGUCUCUCAGAUCUGAAGACAGUUAUUGUCGGAGGCCGAAGGGGUGCCCGGUUAUAUACGAGGGUGCCGCCAACUAGGGUUUAACCCCCUGCCUCCGCUCAGCUUGAAUACCAAUUUGACCCUCAUGGAUGUGUCACUGUAGGUGGGUCCUGAUUUUUAUUGGCGAUACAUGGUAAUAGUUGGGCUGGGUGAAAUGGGUUUCGUCAGGACCAUGUGACACCACAAGGUUUGAAUGGGCUUGACAUUUUCAUCUCAAGGUCACCUCUUGCUUGGUGGACUGCGGUUAGUGAGCCGACCUCCUCGGAUCUCAUUGUCAAUGUCCUGAGGGAUUCACCGUAAGCUCCGCUACAUGAGAUAUUCUGCCUUGUAAGCUCUACUAUAGGUUCAUGCUCUAACCUCUGAUUUCUUACAUACUAUUUAUUGUAUUAGUUGUUUCUAUAGCCCUAAAGAGAUUUCUGAACCUCCAUUCACCGUGACCCCAGACUCUCGACAAAAAGAUUCACAAGAGUCAAUGUACUAUUGUCCUAAAGGAUUAAAUCAAAACACUUGCAUGAUGCACCAAGAAGUCUUAACAGCAAUCAAAGAAUAAUUAAUUAACUCGAGUUAAAUUUAAGUGGUCGAGAAUAUUUUUAGAGACAGCGGAAAUUCUUUGCACUAAUUAAGAUAGUACUCCCAUUGUCAUGGACCUCGGACACAACGACUGAGGGAGUCCUGGAUUAGGGGGUGUCCGGAUGGCCGGACUAUACCUUCAGCCAGACUCCUGGGCAAUGAAGAUACAAGAUUGAAGACUUCGUCCCGUGUCCGGAAGGGACUUUCCUUGGCGUGGAAGGCAAGCUUGGCGAUACGGAUAUGUAGAUCUCCUACCAUUGUAACCGACUUUGUGUAACCCUAACCCUCUCCGGUGUCUAUAUAAACCGGAGGGUUUUAGUCCGUAGGACAACAUAUAGAACAAUAAUCAUACCAUAGGCUAGCUUCUAGGGUUUAGCCUCUCCGAUCUCGUGGUAGAUCUACUCUUGUACUGCCCAUAUCAUCAAUAUUAAUCAAGCAGGACGUAGGGUUUUACCUCCAUCAAGAGGGCCCGAACCUGGGUAAAACUUCGUGUCCCUUGCCUCCUGUUACCAUCCGGCCUAGACGCACAGUUCUGGACCCCCUACCCGAGAUCCGCCGGUUUUGACACCGACAUUGGUGCUUUCAUUGAGAGUUCAUCUGUGUCGUCUGAAAGUGCGUUAUAUCGACUAGAGGGGGGUGAAUAGGCGGUUUUUAUGAAAGUCUUCAAAACAUGGAAGUUAUGAAGACAAACGAUAGAAAUAAACCUAUUACCCUGCAGCGGAAGGUAGACUACACUAGGCAAGCCAUAGUCAAGUAUUCAAUAGAGUGAAAGCAUAAUGACUAAUAGCAGCAAUGUAGUAAGGAUCAGGUAGGAAGAUAUUGUGAAGCCACACAGAACACGCAGUCACUCAGUGAAGACAAAAGAUAGUGCGAACAUACAAUGACUUCACAAGGAGUAAUAGUAAGUAAAGGGAAGGGAAGAUGAAACCAGUGACUCGCUGAAGACAAUGAUUUGUUGGACCAGUUCCAGUUGCUGUGACAACUAUAUGUCUGGUUAGGGCGGCUAGGUAUUUAAACCUUAGGACACACAGUCCCGGACACCCAGUCCUGAACACGCAGCUCAGGACACCCAGUCCUCACCGUAUUCCCCUUGAGCUAAGGUCACACAGACCUCACCCAAUCACUCUGGUAAGUCUUCAAGGUAGACUCCCAAACCUUCACAGACUUCGUUCACUGGCAAUCCACAAUGUCUCUUGGAUGCUCAGAACGCGACGCCUAACCGGCUGGAGGAUGCACAGUCCUCAAGUGUAAUAAGUCUUCAGAUCACACAGACAAGAAGACUUAAGUGAUGCCUAAUUCUCUUUGGCUCUGGGUGGUUAGGGCUUUAUCCUCGCAAGGAAUUCUCUCUCAAAAGCUUCAAGGUGGGUUGCUCUCAAACGACAAAAGCCGUACUCUGAAUCUGAGCAGCCAACCAUUUAUGGUUGUAGGGGGUGGGCUAUUUAUAGCCACUUGGCAACCCGACCUGAUUUGUCCGAAAUGACCCUGGGUCACUAAGGAAGUGACACGUGUUCCAACGGUCAGAUUUCAAACUCACACGACAACUUUACUUGGGCUUCAAGCAAAGCUGACUUGCCCGACUCUGGACAAGAUUCGCUCUCAAAGUCUUCACUCUUAGACAUAGGUUUUGUUUAAGCAUCACUUCAGUCAUUCUGACUGGUUCUCUUGGACCCCACUUAACAGUAUGGUGGUUCCUAUGACUCAACACAGAAGAAAGAGAACUACGAAAGAUCUAAGUCUUCGAGCUCCAUAGGCUUCAUGUGGUGUCUUCUCUUGUCAUAGUCUUCAAUGUGAAUAUCUUCAUAUACCACAUUUGACUUUAAUGUCUUCAUACAUUUUUAGGCGUCAUCUCUGGUAGGAAAACCGAAUCAAUGAGGGACUUCUACCUGUGUUAUCCUGCAAUUCUCACAAACACAUUAGUCCCUCAACUAGGUUUGUCGUCAAUACUUCAAAACCAACUAGGGGUGGCACUAGAUGCACUUACAAUCUCCCCCUUUUUGGUGAUUGAUGACAAACUAGUUGAAGUUUUCAACGGGGAAUAUAAUCUGUGAAAUUGUAAAGGAUAAGGAAUUGUCUUCAUAAGUUGCAAGGGCUCCCCCUGAAGAUGUGCAUAUAAGUAAUUUUCUUUUGGGAUGCAAAUGCACAUGGCAGGUUGUACUUGUGGAGAUCCACUUCAACUUAUGACGACAAUCCACUAUGCAUGUGAAAGUAUAUGAAGAUAAUGACAUGCAUAAUGGAAAAUGGACGUCUGCAGAAUGAUCUAAGUGCGGAAUUUAUCAUCACAACACAAGGUGGCAGAUAAGUAGCAGACGACCAUCGAGUUUAAGUGUUACAAUUCAAAGAACCAAAUGUAGCAAAACGAGAGUUGUAAGCACAAAGCAAAAUAUAAAGCACCCGCCCAUAUGGACCCGCUUGAAGACUAUCAACCUCAUAUGCUUCUCCCUCUUUUGUCAGUAAGGACCAAAAAGGUUUGAAGACAUAGAGCAUCUACUCGUUCCCAUGAGGAGGAGGUGAAGCUGCAGGGUCGUUAGUGGUAUUUGGCGGUGCUGAAGAGCUUAGAGCAGAGUCGAAGCGUGCUGAAGGAGGUGGCGGUGAAGUAGCAUCGUCUUCAUCCUCGAUCACUCUGGCAUUCACAGUUGCAGCAGAGGAAGAGAACUCAGAGUCUUCAAGGGAUGGAGUUCUUUGCAGCACUGCCCUUCGAGGAGGUGUGGAGUCAAACUUGAAUCACUCAGUGAAGCCAUCCUUUUGAAGAUCAUAUUCAGAACACAUCAGCGUUAGCCCUUUCCAUGUGCGGUGAGAGGUUUCAUGGGUAACAAAAGCAUUCAUGGUGGCAAGAUUGCGAAUGCGAUUAACAUCCACCAAGAGGCUUUGCAUUUGACGCUUCAGCCAGUCAUGAUGCCUACCCUGUUUCUGAUGAAGAGCCACAAGAAGCUCUCGGUCAUUGAGAACACGAGUGCGCUUCUUGGGUCGUGGAGCAGUUGUAUUGUCAGUGGCUUUAGUGAGAGCAGGAUGCAGUGCACGUGUAGUGCCAGCCAAAGGAUACACACGAGCGACUGCUUCAACUCCUUCAAUGUUCUGAGAGAAACUCUGAUGCUCUCCAUUCUGAAGACUUAGGGGUUCCUUGGCAGGCUCAGGAUAGAUGGCUUCAAUAGACAUAUCCACAUCAGGCAGAAAAAUCCGAUGAUUGCGAGCAGAUGGCUGAUAUGAGACAGUGGAGUGAAGUUUGAUCAGCCGCAUGACCCAUGGGGCGUAGAACUUCAAGCCAAACAGAUCAGAGCCUGAUGCAGCCAGUUGGCGAAUGAAGAAGUCCUGUGCAUUGAAGCAUUUUCCAUGAAGAAUAUAGAAGACCAAAGUCUUCAUUGCACCUUCAAGCUUGGCAUGUGGAGAGUGCCCUUUGAUGGGCCAGAGAGUUCGCCUUAUGAUGUGAUAAAUAGUCCUUGGCAGAUACUCUAGGUCUUUAACAAAGAACUCUUUGGAAUAUGCAGCAUCUUGGGGUAAUGGCUUCAUCAUAAUGAGCAUCUGACUCGUGUUAGGUUCAGACUUCUGAAAGAUGCUCUCAAUAGCUUCACUAUGAAGCUGACAGCCAUGCUCAUAGAGAUCGCCAGGAGUGGGCAAACCAGUGAGCUCAAUGAUGUCAAAGGCUUUGGUUUCGUCAUGAACGUUUCCUGUCAUCCACUCCAGGACCCAAGUCUUCGGAUCACUGCUAUACCCGCGGAUGUGGAGUGUGGCAUAGAAUUGGAGCAGCAACUCUUCAUUCCAAUGCUCUUGGUCAGUGACGAACGGCAGCAGUCCAACCUCUUUGAAGCAAUUCAGAGCUUCUUCCAGACAGGGCAGACCAGCUAUUGCUUCAAUGUCAAGGCGCUUGUGUGGGAAGAUGCGACCUUGGUUGUAAAGAACACAUGAGUAAUAGCUUCGCUGCGGAUAACUCCAGAACCGAUCAGAUGAUAUUCUUUCCCUGGAGUAGGGGUUCCUGGAGCUGUUGAAGAAUGUGUUGUUUGCUCUGAAGCCAUUGAUAUUGAAGGAGCCAGGUGCUGAUGCAGGACCUGGGAACCUUGGCAAUCUUGGGAUUGACUUCUGUACCUGAGGCCUGUGCUCAACAUGAUAGUAGAACUGGGGACCGGCAGCAGACUCAGGAACAGAAGUGGCGGGAUCAGUGGCUUCGCUGACUUCUGGUGCUUUUGUUGGUGAGGGCUCCACAUUAGCUUCAGCCAUGACAUCGUCAGUGGCUUCAGUGGUGUUGGUGGUGGCAGCCUCAAGAUGUUCAACCUCCACUUGAUGAGCAGGAGGGUCGGUCACGAUCACGUUCUCCUCAAGAACUGCUUCUUGGUGGGACAGGGGAGUGGCAACUUGUGGGUCUUCUUCUUCAUCGGCUGAUGCAGCCGGAAUUUCUUCACAGAUUCAGCUUCAGACGCAGAGACUGGAGGCCUUGGUCCUUUGCGAAGCCUACGCAACGCAGGCGACGCCUGUGUAGUUGGAGUUGGCUGGGCCUCAAAGUCUUCUUCCUCUUGUGGGCAAUCAGCCCAUUAAGCAUCCUGAGCGAUUGGCGUCUGUAAGUGCAUCUAGUGCCACCCCUAGUUGGUUUUGGAGUAUUGACGACAAACCUAGUUGAGGGACUAAUGUGUUUGUGAGAAUUGCAGGAUAACACAGGUAGAAGUCCUUCAUCGAUUCGGUUUUCCUACCAGAGAUGACCCCUAAAAAUGUAUGAAGACAUUGAAGUCAAAGGUGGUAUAUGAAGAUAUUCACAUUGAAGACUAUGACAAGAGAAGACACCACAUGAAGCCUAUGGAGCUCGAAGACUUAGAUCUUUCGUAUUUCUCUUUCUUCUGUGUUGAGUCAUAGGAACCACCGUACUGUUAAGUGGGGUCCAAGAGAACCAGUCAGAAUGACUGAAGUGAUGCUUAAACAAAACCUAUGUCUUCGAGUGAAGACUUUGAGAGCGAAUCUUGUCCAGAGUCGGGCAAGUCAGCUUUGCUUGAAGCCCAAGUAAAGUUGCCGUGUGAGUUUGAAAUCUGACCGUUGGAACACGUGUCAGUUCCUUAGUGACCCAGGGUCAUUUCGGACAAAUCAGGUCGGGUUGCCAAGUGGCUAUAAAUAGCCCACCCCCUACAACCAUAAACGGUUGGCUGCUCAGAUUCAGAGUACGGCUUUUGUCGUUUGAGAGCAACCCACCUCGAAGCCUUUGAGAGAGAAUUCCUUGCGAGGAUAAAGCCCUAACCACCCAGAGCCAAAGAGAAUUAGGCAUCACUUAAGUCUUCUUGUCUAUGUGAUCUGAAGACUUAUUACACUUGAGGACUGUGCAUCCUCCAGCCGGUUAGGCGUCGCGUUCUGAGCAUCCAAGAGACAUUGUGGAUUGCCGGUGAACGAAGUCUGUGAAGGUUUGGGAGUCUACCUUGAAGACUUACUAGAGUGAUUGGGCGAGGUCUGUGUGACCUUAGCUCAAGGGGAAUACGGUGAGGACUGGGUGUCCUGAGCUGCGUGUUCAGGACUGGGUGUCCGGGACUGUGUGUCCUAGGGUUUAAAUACCUAGCCGCCCUAACCAAACGUACAAUUGUCACAGCAACUGGAACUGGUCCAACAAAUCAUUGUCUUCAGCGAGUCACUGGUUUCAUCUUCCCUUCCCUUUACUUACUGUUACUCCUUGUGAAGUCAUUGUAUGUUCACACUAUCUUUUGUCUUCACUAAGUGACUGCGUGUUCUGUGUGGCUUCACAAUAUCUUCCUACCCGAUCCUUACUACAUUGCUGCUAUUAGUCAUUGUGCUUUCACUCUAUUGAAUACUUGACUAUGGCUUGCCUAGUGUAGUCUACCUUCCGCUGCAGGGUAAUAGGUUUAUUUCUAUCGUUUGUCUUCAUAACUUCCACGUUUUGAAGACUUUCAUAAAAAUCGCCUAUUCACCCCCCUCUAGUCGAUAUAACGCACUUUCAAUUGGUAUCAGAGCAAGGUGCUCCCUUGUUCUGUGUGAUUCGGUUUAACCACCUGGAGUUUUAGCUAUGUCGACUGCAGGGAUAAUUAAAGUCUUCGCUGCGUGUCCCGUCUUCGAUGGAACUGAAUAUCCCUACUGGAAGAACAAGAUGCGCAUGCAUCUUGAAGCCAUUGACGUUGACCUAUGGUAUGUCAUCAAGAACGGCAUUCCCAAGGCUGGAGAAGGUGUCACUUCUGCUGAUGUCAAGAAGUUCGUUCAACUGGACUCUACUGCCAAGAAUAUCAUCUGUGGUCAUCUGACCAAAGGACAGUAUGGCCGUGUGAGUGCUUUGGAAACAUCUAAGCUGGUAUGAGACUGGCUCUCCAAGGUCAAUGAAGGCGUCUCAACCCAGAGAGAUCAGAGAAUCAGUGUCCUUUGCAACCUCUUCAACCGCUUCAAGCGAAAUGACAAUGAGAAUGUCCAGCUCACAUUUGACCGACUCACUGACAUCACAAAUGAGCUUCAAGCCCUCGGCGCUACUGAGAUCACCAAACAUGAAGUCGUGAAGACACUACUGAGAUCACUUGGUAGUUCGUUUGACACCCUAGCCCUAAUGAUUCAAGAACGUCCUGAUUUCAAGACACUCGAUCCGUCUGACAUACUUGAGAGGCUCAAUACACAUGAGUUUCAGCUUUCUGAGAAAAGAGAUAUCUACGGUCCAAACUAUGGGCGAACUCGUGCCUUGAAGGCAAAAACUGUCUCCUCAUCUGAAGAAGAAUCUGACAGCAGUUCGGAUGAUCCUGAAGACAUUGGAAGGCAACUUGCUAUGCUUGUGAAGAAGUUCCAAAAAUUCACCAAGAAGAAAGGUUUCAGAAAGUCUUCCCGAUCAAGCUCAAGGAAUGAUGAAGUUUCUGCUCACGACUACAAGAAGAAAGCAUGUCACAAGUGCAAGAAACCUGGCCACUUCAUCUCUGAGUGUCCACAGUGGGACAAUGAGAACAAAAAGAAGAAGAAGAGCAAGGAAUAUGACUCUGACGACAAGAAGAAGAAGAAAUACUCAAAGUCUUCUUCCAAGUCUUCCUCAAAGUCUUCAUCACACAAGAAGAGCUCAUCUGGCAAGGCACGUGCGUUUGUUGGCAAGGAAAUGGAUUCAGAGGAGCAGUCCGCUUCUGAGGAGGCGGAGGUGGAGUCUGAGGAGGAGUCCGAUUCAGGCGUCGCAAGUCUGGCUACAACAUACGUUGCCAAGUCCAUCUUCAAUACUGAAGACAAUGACUUCAUCACCGACACCAAUGCAAAUGACAAGGACUACUCCGCUUCUACCUACUGCUUCAUGGCACGCGGUGCCAAGGUAAACACACGCACUACUCACUAUCAAACAUCUAGUGACGAUGACUCUGAUUGUGGAUCAAAACCCAGCUACAAAACACUUGCUAAAAUUGCAACUGAACAACAAAAAGCUAUGGAACAUAUUCAAAAACUGUUAGACAGAAGCGAUGAUCUGUUAGGUGCUGAAAUGACUCGAUCUGAAUCCUUAAUUGAAGACAUAAAAAAUCUUCACGUUAAGUAUGAGGAACUUGAAAGUCGUCAUGAAACUCUCUCAACAAUUCAUGAAAAGCUUUCCUGUGAUUAUCUUCAAAGGAAGCAAGAUCUUAAGAAAUUGAGAGCGGCUCAUGAAGAUCUUCAAAAGGAAAACGAGUCACUUCGCGCCAAAUAGAUCAGUUCCGCUCAGGAAGGAUUUGAACCACCAUGUCUUAAAUGCAUUGAGCAUGAUAAUGCUACUUCUGUUGCUGAAUGUUCUACUGCUACUACUGUUGCAAUAUCUUCAACUGUUGAUGUGGUAACUAACCCCUCUGCUGAGGAUACCACUGCUAUUGCUGAUGAGAAUGCUAGGUUGAAGACAUUGCUUGAAACAGGGAUGUACAAAAGUCUUAAAGGGCAUCAGACACUAUGUGAUGUCCUCAAAAAGCAGAUUCUGAACCGAAACCCGAGGAAAGAGGGUGUUGGGUUCGUAAGGAAAAUGAAUGCUGAUGGCUCUUACUGGAAACCUGAGCAGUCCCCCAAAACCACGUGGGUUGCUGCAAAGGAACCUUCAGCAGAUCCAUCCAAUCUAUCUGGCUUCACUUGUGCUAACCCCAUUAUCAUUGAUGAAUCCCUUGAUGCAAACUAUAAACUAUUUAAGAAUCAGAAUGGUGAAGUGUUUGCCAGGUACAUUGGUACUAACUACAGGAAUGGACCGCCUAUGAAGAAGAUCUGGGUUCCGAAAAGGUGUCUAGAGAAUCUUCCUGUGAAUGUCAUCAUGACACCUCACGUGAAGAAGACAAACCUCAGACCAAAGGCUUCAUACGGUCCAAAGGCUUCAUACAGACAGAGGACUCACCUGAGUCGCACUAACGCAAAUAUUUUGCAGGGAAACCAUACUCAGGCAUAUGAAUAUGAGAGCGGUUCAUCAAACCGCCAUGUUCAUAAGACCAAGAACUAUUCUCCUUAUUCUUAUGAGUACUAUUGUCCGCCUGCAAGACUGUUUGCUAGGGCUCCAAAGCCAAAGUUCUAAGAUGCUGCACUUUGAAUUAUUGCUUCUAAGCCACCCUUGAAGAUGUGGGUGGCUAAGAAAGCUUAACUCUCUUUUGCAAGGAAAGGUCUCCGGCAGAAAACCAAAAUCGUCUGACACUAUUGCUGGGGACCUUAAACAUCUUGUAGGGCACAAGAUCAAAUGCCCGAAUGGUCUUACUAUGUACUUCGUUCCUGAAUCACUUGCUACUCUCCCUAUUAGUCCUAAUCUGGAUCUAAGCUUUCAUAACCCACUGGUUCGUCAAAUGUUUUUGCUUCACAAUGCUCUUCGUGAAGCCUAUCCCCCUAACUGCACUGUAGGGUACGACACCAGCGUCUUCAGAAUGGAUUAUUGAUAGUGGGUGUACAAAUCACAUGACUGGCAAAAGAAGCCUUCUUAUGGGCUCAACCUUACGUCCAUCCGACAAGAGCCACAUCACAUUUGCUGACACUGGUAAGAGUAAGGUAUUGGGUCUAGGUAGAGUUGCAAUCUCAAGGGAUCAACACAUGGAUAAAGUCAUGCUUGUUGAAUCCCUUGGCUUCAACUUCAUGUCUGUCUCAAUGCUUUGCGAUUUAAACAUGAUCGUAAUAUUUGGAAAAUAUCGUUGCCUUGUUCUAAUGGAAUCUGACAAGUCUCUAGUAUUUGAAGGGUAUCGAAAAGAUGAUUUGUACGUGGUAGAUUUCUCAGCAGGACCAUAGCUUGCCGUAUGUCUUCUAGCAAAAGUUUUAGAAUGCUGGCUCUGGCAUCGGAGGCUUGGGCAUGCUGGCAUGAGGAACCUCCACACCCUGGCAAAGAAGAAGCAUGUCAUAGGCAUCGAGGGCAUCAAGUUCAAGAAAGAUCACUUAUGCGGUGCCUAUGAGGCAGGAAAGAUGACGAGGGCCAAACAUCCAUCGAAGACAAUCAUGACCACUACUCGACCCUUCGAACUGCUUCACAUGGAUCUUUUCGGUCCCACUCAUUACUCAACUCUUACUACUGCUGCUUGUCUGUAUGGCUUUGUCAUUGUUGAUGAUUAUUAUAGAUAUACUUGGGUGCACAUAAUCCUUUACAAGACUGAAGUGCAGCAUGUCUUCAGACGCUUCGCCAAUCGAGCAAUGAACAACUAUGGCGCCAAGAUAAAGCAUAUCAGAAGUGACAAUGGCACUGAAUUCAAGAACACUGGCCUUGAUACAUAUCUUGACACCUUCGGCAUCACACAUGAAUUCUCAGCCCCGUACACGCCACAGCAGAAUGGGGUCGUCGAACGCAAGAACAGAACACUCAUUGAGAUGGCCAGAACGAUGCUAGAUGAAUACAAGACUCCAAGAAAAUUCUGGCCUGAAGCCAUUGAUACUGCAUGCCAUACAAUCAAUCGUGUUUAUCUUCACAAGCUUCUGAACAAGACAUCUUAUGAGCUCCUUACUGGCAAGAAGCCAAAUGUCAGUUACUUCAGAGUAUUUGGCGCCAGGUGCUGGAUCAAGGACCCACAUCACACCUCAAAGUUUGCACCAAAAGCACAUGAGGGUUUUAUGCUUGGAUAUGGAAAGGAUUCGCACUCCUACAGAGUCUUCAAUCUCUUUCAUUACAAAGUGGUUGAAACAGUGGAUGUGCGGUUCGAUGAGACCAACAGUUCACAAAGAGAGCAACUGCCAAAUGUGCUAGAUGAAGUUCCAUCCAGUGAAUCAAUCAAGCUAAUGGGAACUGGAGAAAUUAUACCUUCUGAAGCUCAUCCUGAAGAAGAACUUAUCAUCUCAGCACCUGAUCAACAUGAAGACAAUGCUCAGCCUGAAGACAUUCCUUCUAACAACGACAAUGAUCAGCAAGAGCAAAAUCUUCGCCCUGUACAUCCUCGCGUUGCCAAUGAAGUGCAGAUUGAAAGAAUAAUUGAUAGCAUCAAUGCACCCGGUCCACUCACUCGUUCAAGGGCAACUCAGCUAGCAAAUUUUUGUGGGCACUUUGCAUUCGUCUCAAUAACAGAACCCAAGAAAGUUGAAGAAGCCUUCAUGGAACCUGAAUGGAUUCAAGCUAUGCAAGACGAGCUUCAACAGUUUGAACUGAAUAAUGUACGGGAACUGGUCAAGCGUCCCGAUCCUCGGAAGCACAACAUAAUAGGCACCAAAUGGAUAUACUGCAACAAGCAAGAUGAGCAUGGUCAAGUUGUCAGAAACAAAGCUCGUCUCGUUGCUCAAGGAUAUACUCAAGUGGAAGGCAUUGACUUCGAUGAAACAUUUGCUCCUGUGGCUAGACUUGAAGCCAUACACAUACUGCUGGCCUAUGCAAAUCAUCACAACAUACUUCUUUAUCAAAUGGAUGUGAAGAGCGCCUUCCUCAAUGGCAAGAUUGAAGAAGAAGUGUAUGUUGCACAACCUCCUGGCUUUGAAGAUCCAAAACAUCCUAACAUGGUAUACAAGCUCAACAAGGCACUGUAUGGCCUCAAACAAGCCCCUCGGGCCUGGUAUGACACACUCAAAUACUUCCUGAAGAGCAAAGGCUUCAUACCUGGUUCUCUCGACCCCACUCUCUUCAUGAAGACAUAUGAUGGUGAACUGUUUGUGUGCCAAAUAUAUGUGGAUGACAUUAUCUUCGGCUGCACCAAUCAGAAGUACAGUGAAGAGUUUGGAUAUAUGAUGCAAGAGCAAUAUCAAAUGUCUAUGAUGGGAGAGCUGAAGUUCUUUCUCGGUCUUCAAAUAAGACAGCAACGCAACGACAUCUUCAUAUCUCAAGAGAAGUAUCUCAAAGAUUGCCUAAAGAAGUUCGGUAUGCAAGACUGCAAAGGCUUCACGGCGCCAAUGCCAGCCAAGCAUCAUCUGGGUCCUGACGACAAUGGUAAAGAGUUCGAUCAAAAGGUAUACCGCUCCAUGAUUGGUUCUUUACUUUAUCUAUGUGCAUCUAGGCCAGAUAUUAUGCUUAGUGUUUGCAUGUGUGCUCUAUUUCAAGCGGCACCAAAGGAGUCGCAUCACUUAGCUGUGAAGCGAAUUCUUCGAUAUUUGGCUCACACCCCAACUCUAGGAUUAUGGUAUCCCAAGGGCUCAGAGUUUGAUCUGAUUGGAUUCUCGGAUGCUGAUUAUGCUGGUGACAAAGUUGAUCACAAGUCUACAUCAGGCACAUGUCACUUUCUAGGACGAUCACUUGUAUGUUGGUCUUCAAAGAAGCAGAACUGUGUAUCUCUCUCCACUGCUGAAUCUGAAUACAUUGCUGCUGGAUCUUGCUGCGCUCAGCUUCUGUGGAUGAAGCAAACGCUCAAAGACUAUGGCAUUCAUCUGAAGCAAGUGCCACUCUACUGCGACAACGAAAGCGCCAUCAAGAUUGCCAACAACCCAGUUCAGCACUCGAAGACAAAGCACAUUGAAAUUCGUCAUCACUUUCUCAGAGAUCAUGUUGUGAAGGAAGAUAUUGAUAUCAUACACGUCAACACUGAAGAGCAAUUGGCAGAUAUCUUCACCAAGCCCUUGGAUGAGAAGAGAUUUUGCAAGUUACGGUGUGAUCUAAAUAUCCUGGAAUCCUCAAAUGUCCUGUGAUCAGGCACACAUCCUAACCCUUAUGCAUAUUGAUGACUUAGAUGUGCAACACACGAAGUAAAGUAUAUCUUCAAUCAAUGAAGACAUAUAUUCUAAGCGUGAAUACAUUAAUGUGGAAUUUGAGUUCGGGGCGCCACGAUAAUUGUGCGCCGUGUCUGGGUCUAAUACUUCCUAUACGGUGGGUAACGCCACCACCAAAUGUUCUAUUUUGAAGUGUUUCACUCAUGGCGUUACCUUGCUAUGUCUUCACAUUUGGUUUGGCUUCAAUCUCAACAUGUCUUCAUGAUUAUCUUCACUAUGUUGAUUAUAUAUAUAUACUAGUGUUCUGUCCUCUACAGCAUUCACUUAUAGCUAUGUUUUCUUGUUGAAUCUUUUGAACUAAGUGAAUGUGAUCGGACCCUAACCUCUCUAUGCUAUCUAUCUCAAACUCUAUCUCUCCAAAUCAUAUGCAUUCUAUUGAAACUGUCGAAUGUCUUCUCUGUGUCCUUGUCAGCAGAAGAUACAAAGACAAACCUUAAGUCCACCUUCAAUGCUCAUUCCUCCACAUGAAACCCGGAGAAGUAGGAACGACCACCCGAGAAUCCAGGCGUGCGUGGGACGUGGAACAAACCCCAAAAUUCUGCAUAAUGGCCACAUGUUCCUCAGAUGCGAAUCGCCAGGGGCACCUGUGUAAUAAUGCAGUGCCGCCCUUGUACCUAUAAAUACACACUUCAUGACGGUCAUUAUCUCUUCUUCCACUCUCGCACGAACCCUAGCGCCACCGCUAGCCCUCGACGACGCCGGCGACGAAGUGCUUCGCUACCGCAACCUCUCCGAUGUUGUCUUCACGCCGACCGCGGACAUCGUCCUCUCCGCCGUCGCCAUAGGUGUCCUCCGUCGCCAAGUUAGGGCACGGAAGAUCAAACUGCUCGGCCUCAUCUUCCAUCCAUCUAGCAGUUCUUAGUGUGGUAAAUAAAACUUCCAUUUUACGGCACCGUUGAUCCUAUGGCUUUGUCACUUUCUACCACAAGCAGUUUCUAUUCACACAAGUUAGAUCUCUCUCAUACUGCAUCUCAUAACAUGCCCAGUAUAUUCACUUGUACUUCACAAAGUAGUUAGAUUCCUCACUUGUACUGAUCUCUGGAUUCGUACAAAUCUGGAACCAACUCCUUAUCUAUGAGUGAAUGUCUUCGCACGAUGAGGUCAAUGUCUUCUAAACUGAUUUAUAUUCAAAAUCUUCUGAGAAUGCAUAUGACCUCUUCCCCUUCCCUCGCACCUUAAUGCUGUCACAGGUACAUGUCCGUGGAAGAAUCCCUUGGUUCUCAUAGUCUGCAUUCAUUUGCAGAAUUCUUACAACAUCAUAUAAAUUCUCCCGAAGCAAGUUCCUGUCUGUACAGCAAGCGAAAAUCUUUGAAGCCUUUGAACGUGUUGAAGCCUUUCAGUUUAAAGUUCAUGGCUUCAGAGAAAUCAGCAAGGAAGGGUGGCAGAAAGUGUCGUGGAGAAACAUCUAGAGAUCUGCCAGAUGACCUCUCAGAACUGUACAAGACAGAUCCUGAAGAGGAUUACAAUCAGCGCAAGACCUGAAUCCAAUGGAUUCGAAGAUAUUGGGUAGAACAAUGGUUCAAAUACCGAUUUGUAACCCAGGAAUAUGCUGAGAAAAAUGCCAUCAAGAGACCAUGGGGAGACAUCCUAUACAAGAAUCUUCAACCCAGGUCCAGAGAUGAAGCCAUUGAAUAAGGCUUCUAUCCCUGCAUGGUCCAUGGGCCACAGCCUGUUGAUGCACACCCAUCGUCACUACUAUGGUGUCGUGACGACAUUCUGUUCAAGCGCAACUUCCAGUUUGCCCAGAACUCAGCGAAGCAAAACAAGAAGACAUUGGGACUAGAUUUCAACCCUGGUCCCUCAGCUCCAAGGGCUGAUGGCACACGAGAUGCAGAACCCAAUGUCAUCGGUCCUUUCUACAACCUUGAAGGCCUCAUCACCCAUAUCUUGGUUCAAGGGACUGCAGUGAAUGAGCCUGCAGCUGACGCUGAAUCAGAUGAAGCGCCUGCAGCGCCGAAGCCAAAGAAGUUGAAGAAUCCUAAAGCUUCAAAGCCUGCCCCUUCACCAAAAAUCUCACGGGCGAAGCCACUGGCAACUGCACCUCCUGAAGACAGUGUGCAGUCCGAAGAUUUUUCACGCAUCUCCAAGUCCCAGAAGGUCAAGAUGCCUCUGCCACACACCGGCCAAGAGCUAACAGCUGCUGCCAUUCUGCGCAAUGAUGCCAUUGAUCUAUCAAGUGAUGAAGAUCUUGCAGAUGACGCUCUUGAGCAACUCAUCAAGAGAAAAGAAGAAGCAGAAAUCUUCAAUGAUCUGCCUCUCUUUGAUGUAACAAUCAUCCACAACUUCAUUGAUGAAUGGUUUGACACGCCAAACAUCAGCUUCGACGAUCUCCAACUACCCAUUGGCCUCAGUGUCGCCUUCCAUGGCGCCAUUGCUUCAGAGUUAGCUAUCGCCCAGAGCAUUGUUGAACUAAAGCAGAAGAUUGACUUUGAGAAAUCUCAGUUCAAGAAGCAUAUGGCCAAGCUCAGUAUGCAAGAGGUGAAGAACUUCAAGAUUAUGCUGCACGAGCUCAAGGAAGCCUUUCUCAAGAAACAUGCAGAAGCUCAAGGUUCUCCUGAGCGCAUGAAGGUUCUGGCUGAUAAAUGUGUGCAGGCCUACAAUGAGGCUGAGAAGCGCAAGGCCCUUGGGCGUCCUGGCAUCGACCCCAGGAUGGUAACAAAGAAGAUGAAGAAGCCCGCUACGGCUGAACCUGACGCACCAAGGCAGGAAGCAGAUCCCAUUGUCUUCCCAACUAGAAUGACUAGCUCGAAGCCAAAAAGCCGGUCAACCGCUUCAGAGCUCAAGAAGACGAGGACUGCUGAGGCUGAAGUCAGGAAGAGGAAACAUCCUGAA